rnacentral:rRNA from 1 species
GACAGAGGGUGCAACCGUUGCUCGGAAUCACUGGGCGUAAAGGGCGUGUAGGCGGGAAGGAAAGUCAGAUGUGAAAGCCCUGGGCUCAACCCAGGAACUGCAUUUGAAACUCCCUUUCUUGAGUGUCGGAGAGGAAAGCGGAAUUCCUGGUGUAGAGGUGAAAUUCGUAGAUAUCAGGAGGAACACCGGUGGCGAAGGCGGCUUUCUGGACGACAACUGACGCUGAGACGCGAAAGCGUGGGGAGCAAACAGG